UACGUAGGGGGCAAGCGUUGUCCGGAAUUAUUGGGCGUAAAGAGCGUGUAGGCGGUCCGGUAAGUCGGCUGUGAAAGUCCUGGGCUCAACCCUGGGAUGCCGGUCGAUACUGCCGGACUAGAGUUCGGAAGAGGCGAGUGGAAUUCCCGGUGUAGCGGUGAAAUGCGCAGAUAUCGGGAGGAACACCUAUGGCGAAGGCAGCCCCCUGGGCUAACACUGACGCUCAUGCACGAAAGCGUGGGGAGCAAACAGG
rnacentral:rRNA from 1 species